CGACUGAGUAUCACACACACUCACCCAUGGCACCACCCUACCACUCCAGUCCGGAUGGCUCGCCCAUCCAAGCCAAGCAUGACAAAAAAUGACGCUAAAGACAACGCUCUCUCCCGCCGUCAACCAAAGAGCAGCUUGCUACAAGAGCCGGGAGGAGUCUGCACCCCUAUCCGAGAAGGACCCACACAGCACCGGCAAGCAUCCCUGGAAGGUUUGAAAUUUGC